AACGAACGCUGGCGGCAGGCUUAACACAUGCAAGUCGAACGCCCCGCAAGGGGAGUGGCAGACGGGUGAGUAACGCGUGGGAAUCUACCUAGUUCUACGGAACAACACAGGGAAACUUGUGCUAAUACCGUAUACGCCCUACGGGGGAAAGAUUUAUCGGAAUUAGAUGAGCCCGCGUAAGAUUAGCUAGUUGGUGGGGUAAUGGCCUACCAAGGCGACGAUCUUUAGCUGGUCUGAGAGGAUGAUCAGCCACACUGGGACUGAGACACGGCCCAGACUCCUACGGGAGGCAGCAGUGGGGAAUAUUGGACAAUGGGCGCAAGCCUGAUCCAGCCAUGCCGCGUGAGUGAUGAAGGCCUUAGGGUUGUAAAGCUCUUUCAGUGGGGAAGAUAAUGACGGUACCCACAGAAGAAGCCCCGGCUAACUUCGUGCCAGCCGCCGCAGUAA
rnacentral:rRNA from 1 species